GAUGAACGCUGGCGUCGUGCCUAAUACAUGCAAGUCGAGCGAACAGACGAGGAGCUUGCUCCUCUGACGUUAGCGGCGGACGGGUGAGUAACACGUGGAUAACCUACCUAUAAGACUGGGAUAACUUCGGGAAACCGGAGCUAAUACCGGAUAAUAUAUUGAACCGCAUGGUUCAAUAGUGAAAGACGGUUUUGCUGUCACUUAUAGAUGGAUCCGCGCCGCAUUAGCUAGUUGGUAAGGUAACGGCUUACCAAGGCAACGAUGCGUAGCCGACCUGAGAGGGUGAUCGGCCACACUGGAACUGAGACGCGGUCCAGGCUCCUACGGGAGGCAGCAGUAGGGAAUCUUCCGCAAUGGGCGAAAGCCUGACGGAGCAACGCCGCGUGAGUGAUGAAGGUCUUCGGAUCGUAAAACUCUGUUAUUAGGGAAGAACAAAUGUGUAAGUAACUAUGCACGUCUUGACGGUACCUAAUCAGAAAGCCACGGCUAACUACGUG
rnacentral:rRNA from 1 species